UCUCUUCUUCUUCUUCCUCUUCUUC
rnacentral:sRNA from 1 species